GUCCACGCCGUAAACGAUGGAUACUAGCUGUUGGGGCAACUUCAGUGGCUAAGCGAAAGUGAUAAGUAUCCCACCUGGGGAGUACGUUCGCAAGAAUGAAACUCAAAGGAAUUGACGGGGCCCGCACAAGCGGUGGAGCAUGUGGUUUAAUUCGAUGAUACGCGAGGAACCUUACCAGUUCUUGACAUCCUACAAACUUUUCUGGAGACAGAUUGGUGCCCUUUUCGGGGGAAUGUAGUGACAGGUGGUGCAUGGCUGUCGU
rnacentral:rRNA from 1 species